CCGGGGCUUCUUCUACGGCUACCGUCACCAUCCUCACCGUUGAAAGAGCUUUACAACCCUAAGGCCUUCUUCACUCACGCGGCAUGGCUGGAUCAGGGUUGCCCCCAUUGUCCAAUAUUCCCCA
rnacentral:rRNA from 1 species